rnacentral:rRNA from 1 species
AGUGAACGCUGGCGGCAGGCCUAACACAUGCAAGUCGAACGGCAGCACAGCAGUAGCAAUACUGUGGGUGGCGAGUGGCGGACGGGUGAGGAAUACAUGGGAAUCUGCCCUGUCGUGGGGGAUAACGUAGGGAAACUUACGCUAAUACCGCAUACGACCGGAAGGUGGAAGCGGCGGACCGCGAGGCGUCGCGCGACUGG